GGCUCGUCGCAUCCUGGGGCUGGAGUAGGUCCCAAGGGUUGGGCUGUUCGCCCAUUAAAGCGGUACGCGAGCUGGGUUUAGAACGUCGUGAGACAGUUCGGUCCCUAUCCGCUGCGCGCGCAGGAAACUUGAGAAAGGCUGUCCCUAGUACGAGAGGACCGGGAUGGACGAACCUCUGGUGUGUCAGUUGUUCUGCCAAGAGCACCGCUGAUUAGCUACGUUCGGAAGUGAUAACCGCUGAAAGCAUCUAAGCGGGAAGCACGUUUCAAGAUGAGGUUUCCAUGGGGUUUACCCCGAGAGGCUCCCAGCCAGACGACUGGGUUGAUAGGCCGGAUGUGGAAGUGCAGUAAUGCAUGAAGCUGACCGGUACUAAUAAGCCGAUAACUUGAUUAC
rnacentral:rRNA from 1 species